rnacentral:rRNA from 1 species
AGGACGAACGCUGGCGGCGUGCUUAACACAUGCAAGUCGAGCGACGCUCCUCCUUCGGGAGGAUGACGGAGCGGCGAACGGGUGAGUAACACGUGGGCAACCUGCCCCUAGCUCUGGGAUAACCCCGGGAAAUCGGGACUAAUACCGGAUAUGAAGUCGGACGGCAUCUUCUGACUUGGAAAGUUUUUCGGCUAGGGAUGGGCCCGCGGCCUAUCAGCUUGUUGGUGGGGUAACGGCCUACCAAGGCGACGACGGGUAGCCGGCCUGAGAGGGCGACCGGCCACACUGGGACUGAGACACGGCCCAGACUCCUACGGGAGGCAGCAGUGGGGAAUAUUGCACAAUGGGCGAAAGCCUGAUGCAGCGACGCCGCGUGAGGGAUGACUGCCUUCGGGUUGUAAACCUCUUCAGCAGGGACGAAGCGAAAGUGACGGUACCUGCAGAAGAAGCACCGGCAACUACGUGCCAGCAGCCGA